ensembl:misc_RNA 7SK 7SK RNA
CCGCUCCCGAGGCUGCAUACUCGGUCGAAAAGGAGGAGCAUCCCUCAUAGAGGAGGACAGGUCAAGGAUAUAGGAGUAGCUGCACGCCCCUGUUAACAAGCUCUCAAGGUCCUCCAAACAGGCUCUCAAGGU